GUUUUUUUGUGAUUUUUAGAGACGCUUACGUGGCAUGUUUUGAUCCGUUUGGCAAACAGAGAAAACAAAAAAAAAACAAUCUUUUCCAACUUCAUUUCGCGAUCUCUCUCUCUUCUCUACUCUUCUCUUCUCUUGUAAUCUCUGAAAGACGAAGAACAAAUCAGAAGAGAAAAGCCGGCUUCAUGAUCAUCAAAUCAUCAUCAAAUCAAGCCACAAUCGCUUUCUGAAGAGGUCAACACUGAAACCAUGCAAAAGUCAAAGUUUGGAAGAAUCUGUGUGUUCUGUGGAGGCAGUCAAGGGAAGAAGAGUAGUUACCAAGAUGCUGCUGUGGAUCUAGGCAACAAAUUGAGUAUUUCCUCUGUUUUCUACUUUGAAAACGCUCUUAAAUAUUGCAAGUGAAAUACCCAUGCAAGUGAAAUAACUAUAGAUGCCUUCUUGACCCAUCGACAUGCUUAAGUAGAAUGGUGUAAACCAAUUUUUUUUUUGGGUCUUUGAGAGGAAAGGCUGAGACUAACACUUGUCAAGAAAGGCUGAAGCUGGAGGGAUGACUUAAGUAUGUUGUCCUUUUUCUUGAGUUUAUUUCUUACCUCUAGAAAGAAUACAUUUUUGAAUCUUUCUCUGUUAUGAAACAACAAGUUCUCAUAGCUUUGAUGCUAAUAUUUGUUAUAAUCUGCUCUCUUCUACUAUACAGGGAAACUACUUCAAACUUCAUUGUAAUUAAAGAGUUUUUCAUUUAAAAUU